GACGAACGCUGGCGGCGUGCUUAACACAUGCAAGUCGAACGGAAAGGCCCUGCUUUUGUGGGGUGCUCGAGUGGCGAACGGGUGAGUAACACGUGAGUAACCUGCCCUUGACUUUGGGAUAACUUCAGGAAACUGGGGCUAAUACCGGAUAGGAGCUCCUGCUGCAUGGUGGGGGUUGGAAAGUUUCGGCGGUUGGGGAUGGACUCGCGGCCUAUCAGCUUGUUGGUGGGGUAGUGGCUUACCAAGGCUUUGACGGGUAGCCGGCCUGAGAGGGUGACCGGCCUCAUUGGGACUGAGAUACGGCCCAGACUCCUACGGGAGGCAGCAGUGGGGAAUAUUGCACAAUGGGCGGAAGCCUGAUGCAGCAACGCCGCGUGCGGGAUGACGGCCUUCGGGUUGUAAACCGCUUUCGCCUGUGACGAAGCGUGAGUGACGGUAAUGGGUAAAGAAGCACCGGCUAACUACGUG
rnacentral:rRNA from 1 species